rnacentral:rRNA from 1 species
GAAUUGUUCGCAAUGGGCGCAAGCCUGACGACGCAACGCCGCGUGGAGGAUGAAGAUUUUCGGAUCGUAAACUCCUUUCGAUCGGGACGAAUGGCUGGGAACCUAAUACGUUCCCGGAUUGACGGUACCGAGAGAAGAAGCCCCGGCUAACUCCGUGCCAGCAGCCGCGGUAAUACGGGGGGGGCAAGCGUUGUUCGGAAUUGCUGGGCGUAAAGGGCGCGUAGGCGGCCUGCUAAGUCACACGUGAAAUCCCUCGGCUCAACCGGGGAACUGCGUGUGAUACUGGCGGGCUCGAAUUCGGGAGAGGGAUGUGGAAUUCCAGGUGUAGCGGUGAAAUGCGUAGAUAUCUGGAGGAACACCGGUGGCGAAGGCGGCAUCCUGGACCGAGAUUGACGCUGAGGCGCGAAAGCUAGGGUAGCAAACGGG